GGCUUAGUAAUUAAAUAUUAUAAUAUGGGAUUGCAAAUCCUAGUUUGCUUGUUUGUUAGCCUAAGCCU
rnacentral:tRNA from 1 species